rnacentral:tRNA from 1 species
GCGCCCUUAGCUCAGUUGGUAGAGCAGCGGACUUUUAAUCCGUGGGUCCCAGGUUCGAGUCCUGGAGGGCGCACCA